AGCGAACGCUGGCGGCAUGCCUAACACAUGCAAGUCUGACGGGCUGGCCUUUCGGGGCUGGUCAGUGGCGGACGGGUGAGGAGCGCGUAGGAACGUAUCCAAGGGUGGGGGACAACCGCGGGAAACUGCGGCUAAUACCGCAUGGGGCCUGAGGGCCAAAGGCCGGGGGGAACUUCGGUCGCCACUGGAGCGGCCUGCGUCCGAUUAGCUAGUUGGGGGGGUAACGGCCCACCAAGGCGGUGAUCGGUAGCUGGUCUGAGAGGAUGAUCAGCCACAC
rnacentral:rRNA from 1 species